AUUGAACGCUGGCGGCAUGCCUUACACAUGCAAGUCGAACGGCAGCACGGGAGCAAUCCUGGUGGCGAGUGGCGAACGGGUGAGUAAAGUAUCGGAACGUGCCCAGUCGUGGGGGAUAACGUAGCGAAAGUUACGCUAAUACCGCAUACGAUCUAUGGAUGAAAGCGGGGGAUCGCAAGACCCCGCGCGAUUGGAGCGGCCGAUAUCAGAUUAGGUAGUUGGUGGGGUAAAGGCUCACCAAGCCGACGAUCUGUAGCUGGUCUGAGAGGACGACCAGCCACACGGGGACUGAGACACGGCCCAGACUCCUACGGGAGGCAGCAGUGGGGAAUGUUGGACAAUGGGCGAAAGCCUGAUCCAGCCAUGCCGCGUGCAGGAUGAAGGUCUUCGGGUUGUAAACUGCUUUUGUACGGAACGAAAAGGUUUGGCCUAAUAAGCUGAGCUCAUGACGGUACCGUAAGAAUAAGCACCGGCUAACUACGUGCCAGCAGCCGCCGCGG
rnacentral:rRNA from 1 species